GAGAAAACUCGCAAGGACUGCUAAUCCAUGCCACCAUACCUAAAACUAUGGUUUUCUCA
rnacentral:tRNA from 1 species